AUGUGGAGUAUCAAUGUGCCCACCCCAGGGGCAGAUGCGGGGCCAGAACCUGUGUCUCUUCAACCGCCACCCCACACUAAAUUUCUGCCUGUCACCAGAGAGAUCCACUCUGGAAGGGCCCGUGUCACACAGAACUGCUUGAGGUCCUUUGUGGCCAUGGUUGCAACAGCAGUAACUCAGAAGUUUAUAAUCAAGAGAAAUUUGUCUCCUGGCUCUAGUGAUUGGGAGAGUGACAUGAUGCAGAUGAACUCUAGCCACUGGCUCACCCAGGCUAGCAACAAUGCCUGAACCUCAG
rnacentral:lncRNA from 1 species